GUUGCCACCAAGCUGCAGAAGGUUAAUAAGAGUUACCGUACCAGAAGAAACUUGGCAGAUUGUGCUGUGGUGGUGGAGGAACUAUGGUGGAAGGCAUUGGAUUUUGCUGCUCUUAAAAGGAGUUCAAUUUUAUUUUUUGAUGUGGAGAAACAAGAAUCUGCUGUGUCAAGGUGGGCAAGGGCAAGAACAAGAGCAGCUAAGGAUUUGUUAAAUGGCAUUUGUGCUUCCAAGAAAAGCAAUGCUCGAUUUAAAAUAAAUGACAUUUGUGCUUCCAAGCUUCAUUGGCAAUUGCAUUUUGCCAUAGCCAUUGCUUACUCUCCUUUAUUUAGUGAAGCUUUCAUGGCCCAAGACAUUGGUCAAUAAGUGGUUCAAUAUCAAGUGCAAAACUAAUAACUUUCAAGCAGAUGAUGAUGUUGAUGAUGAUGUCCUUUAUCAAGGGAUACUUUUCAGAAUUCAUUCGGUUCUAUGAUUUUGUUUUCUUCAUGUGUCGCGAGACUGGUCAAAAGAAUAUUUGUAAGUAGCCCGGUCAUUUCCUUCAACAUAAUCUUGUAUUGAUUGCGUAUGGUGGUGAAUCAGUAUGCAAAAUCCUUACAUGCUUCUCUUUUUGAAUUAUGAUAAUUUGCAGCUGU